GGAUGUGAGAGCGAUCUGGCUGCGACAUCGGUCACCCCAUUGAUCGCCAGGGUUGAUUCGGCUGUUCUGGCUGGCUAGGCGGGUGUCCCUUUCCUCCCUCACCGCUCCAUGUGCGUCCCUCCCGAAGCUGCGUGCUCGGUCGAAGAGGACGACCACACCCGAUAGAGGAGGACCGUUCUUCGGUCAAGGGUAUACGAGUAGCUGUGCUCCCCUGCUAGAACCUCCAAACAAGCUCUCAAGAAGUGUGGCUGAAGAGUUCUACAUACUUCUUACAUGGAAUGAGUGAAACAAGGGUUUUAUUCA
rnacentral:snRNA from 1 species